rnacentral:lncRNA from 1 species
CCCUUUGUUUGUGUCCUAGUGCGUGCAUGCAUGUGUGUGCAUGUGUGUGGUUGUGCGCGCUCUUAAAGGUGGUUGAGCGUGCACUUGUCCCUGCACUUGUGUGUAUAUUAUUGUGUGCUUUUUUCAAUCAUCAUCUUGAAUCAACUGUAAGCGCAGAUGUGCUGUGACCUGACUAAGAUCAGAUAAAGUGCCCCCCCCCCUCCUACCCUCCUCCCCCCAGCUCCAUUUGUCAUGGGCCAGCUGUCGGGCUGCUGUGAUUGGUUGUUGUGGGAGACAGAUAGCCGAUAGGCUCUGAUUAACAGUAGUGGCUCUGGAACUUACUCAUUGAUCAAGAAGACAGGGGAGGAGGAGGGAGAGGACAGGAGAGGAGGAGGGAGAGGACAGGAGAGGAGGAGGGAGAGGACAGGAGAGGAGGAGGGAGAGGACAGGAGAGGGGGAGGGAGAGGACAGGAGAGGGAGAGGACAGGAGAGGGGGAGGGGGAGGACAGGAG